AUAAAAGAGCCAAGGUUGCCUACCCCUGGCCUAGGCCCCCAUCAAGAAUCUCAAGGUCAGGAAGGGUGCAUAGCAGGAAAGACAUCUUGAUUAUAAGUGAUCAACAACAGAACUUUGAAAUGGGCUGAGAGGGCAGCUGGCUUCUUUCCUCUCAGUGGAGAAAGUCUAUUUAUCACUCCAAGAGUGACUCAAAACAAACCGGAAAUCUUCAUCAGCAGACUCCUGAUGCUAAGGAAUUUUGAAUAUGCAGUAAUGCCAUUCAGAUCAGUGUGCAGUUCCCGGGUCUUCACGUGAUUUAGGAACCAAAGAAAAAUCCCCUCACACUAAUUGGGAAUGGAGCAAACUGAAUGGAUAAUAAGAGUUACUAGAAUUUUUAUAAAUGAUUGUAUGUUUUAAAAAAUAAAAAAAAAAUUAAUAAAAAAAAAGAGUUGCUAGAAUUUACAGAUUUCCUUAUU